rnacentral:tRNA from 1 species
GUGGAUAUAGCUCAGUAGUAGAGUGCUUGCCUAACAUGCACAGGACCCUGGUUUCAAUCCCCAGUACCACA